rnacentral:lncRNA from 1 species
CAGUUUUCUUAUAAACCAGAGAAGAAGUCUGAAGAAACAACAGAUUAUGGCAGAAAAACUCAGACUGUCUACAAAUUUACAAAUGAUGCAUUGGUUCAACACCAGGAACGGAAUGGGAAGGAAAGCACAAUGAGAAAAGUGAAAGAUGGAAAAUUAGCGGUAGAAUGUGUUAUGUACAAUGCCACCUCUCCUCGAAUCCAUAAAAAAGUGUAAU